UGCGCUGUGACUCUCUGAAGCUGCUGGCCGAUGUCUCCACCGACAUCACAUUCGCUCAAGAGUUUAUCAGCCGUGAUGGACACUCCCUGCUCGUCAAGAUAGUAGAGGACGCUCACGAGGCUCCUCUGAUAAUGACACACACUCUUACUGCUUUCAUGGAGCUCAUGGAUCAUGGCAUUGUGUCCUGGGAGAAUCUGUCCAGUGUCUUUAUCAAAAAGAUCGCCGGUUUUGUGAAUGCAAAGGUUCUAGACACGUCUAUCCAGCAGGUGUC